rnacentral:rRNA from 1 species
UACGAAGGGGGCUAGCGUUGUUCGGAAUCACUGGGCGUAAAGCGCACGCAGGCGGAUUGAUAAGUCAGGGGUGAAAUCCCGGGGCUCAACCUCGGAAUUGCCUUUGAUACUGUCUAUCUCGAGUUCGGGAGAGGUUGGCGGAAUUCCUAGUGUAGAGGUGAAAUUCGAUAGAUAUCAGGAAGAACACCCGUGGCUAAGGCGGCUCUCUAGUACGGUACUGACGCUGACGACGCGAAAG